rnacentral:rRNA from 1 species
AUGAGGACAAAGCAUGCUCUGAAUAUCUUAUCAAAGCUUAGUGUUGUUUCGGAUGGAGUACCUGUGGCCGAACUGGGUGUUGCGGCGGCAUGGUACCUUUGGUGGCAACGACGACAACUUGUGAAAGGAAUCGUGAUUCAAAACCCUGAGAGAAUAGCACAGUCUUUCGCUCCUAGCUACAAAUUACAUCAGAUCGAUGUCUCCGAAGCUCCCGACUCAGAAGAAAGAACAUAUGUGGAAAAAACCGUCUCAUGGACUGAUCUGGAGGUUGCGGUACUAUUGUGCGUGAUGAACGGGGUGGCUUUUUAG